rnacentral:tRNA from 1 species
UCCCCAGUGGCCCAGUGGUUAGGACUGGGUGCUUUCACUGCCUGGGCCCAGGUUCAACCCCUGUUUGGGGAA